rnacentral:rRNA from 1 species
GAUGAACGCUAGCUACAGGCUUAACACAUGCAAGUCGAGGGGAAACGACAUUGGAAGCUUGCUUCCGAUGGGCGUCGACCGGCGCACGGGUGAGUAACGCGUAUCCAACCUGCCCACCACUUGGAGAUAACCUUGCGAAAGUAAGACUAAUACCCAAUGACGUCUCUAGAAGACAUCUGAAAGAGAUUAAAGAUUUAUCGGUGAUGGAUGGGGAUGCGUCUGAUUAGCUUGUUGGCGGGGUAACGGCCCACCAAGGCAACGAUCAGUAGGGGUUCUGAGAGGAAGGUCCCCCANAUUGGAACUGAGACACGGUCCAAACUCCUACGGGAGGCAGCAGUGAGGAAUAUUGGUCAAUGGGCGAGAGCCUGAACCAGCCAAGUAGCGUGCAGGAUGACGGCCCUAUGGGUUGUAAAACUGCUUUUUAUAAGGGAAUAAAGUGGGAGUCGUGACUCCUUUUGCAUGUACCUUAUGAAUAAGGACCGGCUAAUUCCGUGCCAGCAGCCGUAC